UACCAGCACCCCGAGUGGUCGGGACGAUUAUUGGGCCUAAAGUAUCCGUAGCCGGCCUUACAAGUCCUCCGUUAAAUCCAGCUGCUUAACAGAUGGGCUGCGGAGGAUACUAUAAGACUAGGAGGCAGGAGAGGCAAGCGGUACUCAGUGGGUAGGGGUAAAAUCCGUUGAUCCAUUGAAGACCACCAGUGGCGAAGGCGGGUCUCUGGGCCGUAACUGACGCUGAGGAGCGAAAGCGUGGGGAGCGAACAGG
rnacentral:rRNA from 1 species